CAGUUGUGUGCGUGAGGGCUAAAGCUCAGAAAACUUUAUUUUAUCCCCUGCCGGCGCUCUUCUCUAGUCAUGCUUAAAGUCAAGGGGACAGCGACCUCCUUGCUUCAAGUCAAGAUAACUACGCCCCCUUCCCUGCCCCUUUUCUGUGACUGACAGGGCU